AGGGGGCAGCUGCGGUGCCCUGUACCUUGCAGUGCGGAAUUGUGAGUUCGAGCUCGCGCUGCAGGUUCUACACGGCUCGC
rnacentral:SRP_RNA from 1 species